CUUUGGUGUUUGUUCUGGAUAUUUUAAUAUUUCUAUGAAUCCUGAAGUUAAUAUAAUUAUUUUAGUAAUAGUAGAAUGACCUUUGAAUGCAGUCACUUUCCUACUGAAUUAUAUGCUAUCAUUGCUGAACGUUUGAGUUUUGUAUUAUUGGUUCUGUACUGUUUUUUUUCUGUCCCACAAAUUAGACAAUGUUAUUUACCAUUUUCUUGUGUCAUUACUCCUCCGCUUUUAUACUCUGGUGUUCAUUUUUUUCUUUGAAGUAUAUAUGUUAGAAGCUGUUUUAGUGAGGAUCUUUUAUUAGUAAAUUAUCUCAAUUUUGGUUUUUAAACAUCUUCGAAGAUAGUUUAACUUGUUUUAUAGUUUAAGAUUGAUAAUUAUUUUCUCUAAGCACUUUGAAAGUAUUCUGCAGUCUUCAGGUUUAUACCAUUUCUAUUAAGUCAACUAUUUGUUGAAUCAUCCUUUCUUUAUAAGUAAUCUUUUGGCAACAAAGACCAAAGUCUUAAAAUCAGCUCCAUGUCAUUAUGCAACUAACCUAAGUUCUCAAAAAUUUCCUCUUCUAUGAAUAAUAGAUGUUAAAACACUUAGGGUGCCAUAUAAGUAUAAAUAAAUAUUUAUAGCAAUAAGAAAACUAGGUAAUGUAAUAUUUGCUUUAUGCAAUGUUAUACUUACAUGGUUAUUUACUUUUUAGUGUUAUUUGAACCGUUUAAGAAGUAAUUCUCAAAUUUGAAGUGGUUCUACAAAUUUGGGCAAGAUGCUCAUUUUCAGAUGUGUGUGCCAUAUAUAAGGUGCUAUGAUAUUCAAAAUCCUCUCGAUACUUUAUUAUUCCUUUCAUUGUACCUUUAAGUGGUAUAUAAGGUGUACUUUAUAUUGUAUCAUGUUUCAUAUCAUAAAACACUUCUCA